AUUAUUAUUAGAGACACUAGACGGACGACAGUAGGCAAAAGACACGCAGACCAGCUCAAACUAUUCACACCUUCCCCACCCUGGUUAUAUUAGAUGCAGAUUCCCAUUCUCCAUAACUUGCUAAAUUUCACGACAGAUUAACCCAAUAAGUUUCUCCAGUAGGAUGCCACCAGCAAAGCGCAAUUUCAUCAAAAAGCAUCCCGCUAUGGAUCUUUCCAUUGCGGUCCAAACCGACAUUGGACAAAAAUCAGCAACCUCCACAUCCAGACAAAGCGCACACGCUACGUUCAAGAUACCAAAAAAACACCGUAAUCAACAACAUGCGCCUCCGCAAAAUACGCAAGUCUUGGGCGACCUCAGAGACGUGCUACCGUUGCGGAACCGAGACGGUUCGAGCCGGCAGCAAACACCAAGCAUGCAGCGACCACAACGCUCACGAAGCUCCCAUACCUGGCAGCGUGCACAGCUCCGUAUAGUGUGGUGUAUCUGUCGUGCUGAGUCCUGGUGGUGAUGCGGGUGGCCGUCUCCUCUAGUCGAUGCUAAAUAGGGCGCGCUCCUAAAACAACAAUAAACAGAAGGUGUGCAGAGAUGUAACGAUAAGUCGACUAAUAUUCUUUAACCCGCCGCUGGUCGUUUAUUCCAGGUGGCUGGGUCAGAAAAAUAGUCCCACCUGAGUUAAGACUAGUUUCUCUCUUUCUCUUCUUGCAGGCGGUGUGGUUUGCGUCGGUCGGCCAACUCGAGGUUCACUCUGAAACAUAGACAACCAACAGGUGAUCAGGCCGUGGUAUUGAUGCGUCGAGCGAAGCCAACUGACCGUUAAGGCAAGACGCAGAUGCGGUCCUUCCCUUCUAACACGUUGAUCUCCCACAGUUAUAGGCUUUCCACGCGCGGCCCUAGCCCAGGCUGUUCGGCGAAGAAGCUCUCGUCUCUGUGGCAACGUCAGUCAGACUCCCACAAUCAAAAGAAAGAUGAUCAUCGAGUCGGCGAUACAAUCGAGCUAAGCACCACCUUGAACGCAGGAGAGUCUGGCUCGGCCUGGCUAUCAGAUUUACGGUUGAGGUUCCGGAGUAGUUGGCUUGAGGGUCCCGAAGGAUGACCGGUGCUCGAAUGUAGCCGUACCUGCUUCGUGGUUUUCUGAUGACUUUUCACCCGGCGCGAUAUGGUUCUCCCCUUACUGAUGUUGGUCGGCAAUUUUUAUGUAUUUUGGGACCUUUAUUGUCAUGCGGACACCAAAACUGCCCCUCCCAAUUGAGAGGGGCAGAGCGACAGGUAAACAUCAGUCACGUUGGCAAGGAACUCCCGUAAACUCAACGGAUUUCUCCGGUUUUUACACUUGUUUCAGAGAACCGUCGGGCCCAGGGGGGCCACGAAGUGUCUCCUCAGCCCACUUUUAGACAUUUCGACCCUGGGACUGAUUUUCAAAGCUGAAAAUUGAGA